GUUGAAUAACAUCUAUUUGUUUUGAUGUUGUAGUUUUUUAUUCUAGCUCUAGAGAACCUUUUCAAUCCGAAAUACAUUUUGUACGAUGGACAAGACUCGGGUAAUUGUGUUUUCUUAUAAUACAUAAGAUAUAUGCUAAGUUUUGAAAAUAAUUUCAUUAAACUUAUGUUUCCAUGUUGUAUUCUCAAAGCCAACUAAACAAACUUCAAAGAGUUCUAAAAGAAGAAGAGCUUCAAUUGCUAAUGCAAUUCGGGAGACAAGUAAGAGACUAAACAAUUCUAGUGAACAAGACAAUAUUAUAACUAGUCCAACUAAUGAUGAGCAAACCACAUUACCAACAACUGUAAAUGCUCCAAAAAAGAAAAGAGGUCCAACACAAGUGAAGAUGAUUCCUGAACAUAAUUAUUAGAAGAUAAAUCUAGAAUUCAAUAAAUAUGGCCAAGUUGUUGGGCAGAAUUCGGAAAAAAUUUCUAGCGUAGUUGGGGCCAUGGUACGAGAACAUGUGCCUAUUGUAAUUAAAGAUUGGACUUCAGUGAAUGAAGAGACUAAAAUGGAGCUCUGGACUUUCAUACAUGUAAUAUUUCGUAACUACCUUUUGAGAUUAUUACGUUGUAUUUAUUUCUUUCUUAAUGAUACCAUUUUCUAAAGUCUUAAAUUCAUGCUUGUGCAUAAAUACAGCAAAGGUUCAAUGUCAGUGAUUGUCAUCAAAGAAUGACAUUUCAAUGUAUGGGAAAGUACUGGAGGACAUUCAAAUCAAGAUUGAGAAAACAAAUUAGAACUCAAGUUGAAUCAUCUAUGAAUAGAGCACGCACUAUUGAAUGUCAACUCUGAAGAAGUCUGGGUUAAAUUUGUUGACGAUACUCUUUCUGCUAAUUUUCAUGUACGUAUAUUUGCAUGUAAAGUUUAACCCUUAUUUUAAUUAUUGUUGUUUUAUACUUCAUUGUUUUUUCAAUAGGAGAGAAGUUCCAGGUUCAGCAACAUGCGAACUAAUUAGAAGCUUCUCCAUACUAUGGGUAGAAAGGGUUAUCCACGUGUGGCUUAUGAAAUGGUACUUCUUACGAACAUAUCAUGUCUUUUUACUUGAAUUGUCCAAUUUCAAUAUAUUUGAUUACUACAUUUGUACUGCAGAAGAAAAAGAAUCCACAUUUAAAAGGGUUAAGAAUAGAAGUAUGGAAAUAUGGACAUCUCAGAAAAGAUGGAAAACCAAUUAAUGAAGCAGUUGCCGAAACAUUGGUAUGUGUAUUAUACUAAUGUUCAAUUAAGCAUAAUUUGAUUUAUUAGUUGUAUCACUUGCUACUAUUUGAUUUGAGUUCCUUAAGUGCAGAAAAAGAUUGAAGAUUGUGCCACAUCAAUUUCCGAUAUGCUUGCAUAAGAUUCUAUCCGUGAUGAUGCUAUAGCUCGAGUUUUUGGUCCCGAACGCUAUGGAAGAGUUAGGGGACCCGGAUUUGGAGUUGUACCAUCAAAAGUGGAUGGAUAAAUACAAAGUAGUGGGAGAGCUAGAGAACUUGAAAGCCAAGUACAGAUUCAGGCACAAAGGAUGGGGGCAUUAGAAGAAAAAAUGGAGGUUUUCUCAGUAGGUUAUAAGUAGUUACUUUUUAUACAUUUUAUGAUUAUAUAGCUUUAUAUAGCCAAUUACAGGUAUAAUAACUUUUGUAAUUUUUGUAUUAUUAUACAAAAUGUGGAGGAUAGGAAUUCAAAUGCUUUUAAUCAGGUUUCCAUUUCCUAUAUUAUUAAAUGUUUAUUUAAUAUAUAUUCAAUUUGUAGCAUUCUAAUUUUAAAAAGAAUACUUUUUGUUUAUUAUGAAUUUGUAGUCACACCAAGGAAGUGGUGUCCAAAGAAGUACUACCCCCAAGACAAAUGCAAGAUGUCAACUGUUGCAUUGGUACAUGUUUGAGGAGGAAGAAGUCGUAGCAGAAGGGAAGAUUGCCACAAGAGAUCCAAGUGCAAAGGUGCAUCACUUGCCACUCGGUCGAGACUGUUGAAAGGUUUGGAUUGAGGAAGUCUAUGUGGGUAAUUUGACCCUAUACAGACCCACAUAUGAAUUCCGCACUCUUAGUGAAGCCAUGGAAAGUACUAUUGCUUGGUCAAAGAGUAGUAUUAGACUUCUUGAUUAAGGUAUUAGACUCUUAG
rnacentral:lncRNA from 1 species